rnacentral:rRNA from 1 species
AGCGAACGCUGGCGGCAGGCCUAACACAUGCAAGUCGAACGAACCAUUCGGGGCUAGUGGCGGUCGGGCAAGUACCACGUGGGAACGUGCCUGUAGGUACGGAAUAACUCAGUGAGACAUGUGCUAAGACCAAAUGUGCCCUUCGGGGGAAAGAUAUAUCGCCGUUCGAGCGGCCCCCGUCAGAUUAGCUAGUUGGUUGAGGUAACGGCUCACCAAGGCGACGAUCAGUAGCUGGUGUGAGAGACUGGUCAGCCACAAAGGGAAUGCGACCCGGCCCACACUCCUACGGGAGAGAGGAGUGGAGAAUCUUACGGCCUGGACGAAAGCGUGGCGCAGCCACGUCGGGUGAAUGGUGCGUCUCUUAGGAUUGUUAUUUUCUUUCAACAGGAGCGAUAAUGACGGUACCCGGAGAAGAAGCCCCGGCUAACUUCGUG